UACGAAGGGGGCUAGCGUUGCUCGGAAUCACUGGGCGUAAAGCGCACGUAGGCGGCUUUUUAAGUCAGGGGUGAAAUCCUGGAGCUCAACUCCAGAACUGCCUUUGAUACUGAGAAGCUGGAGUCCGGGAGAGGUGAGUGGAACUGCGAGUGUAGAGGUGAAAUUCGUAGAUAUUCGCAAGAACACCAGUGGCGAAGGCGGCUCUCUGGGACGGUACUGACGCUGAGACGCGAAAGCGUGGGGAGCGAACAGG
rnacentral:rRNA from 1 species